CUUUGGACAGAGACAAAGCCUGGAAAGAUUCAGCUCAAAACGUGUAUGUUGGAGUCUAAUAGGGGAAGAUUGUGUAUUGUGUUUAAAUCAUAUUUAUAUUACAGUAAUGCUUAGGAGCCCUAACCAGGAUUGCAUCAAUUCUGUUAGGCAGUGUACAAACAUAAGAAGACACAGUCCCUGGCCUGAGGAGACUCCAAACCACUGCAGCCAGACUGACCCAUCUGUUCCUUGGAGCUUGUCUAUAAAAAGGGGAGAGAGACGUCCCUUAGAAUUUUACCUCAG